rnacentral:rRNA from 1 species
UACGUAGGGUGCAAGCGUUAAUCGGAAUUACUGGGCGUAAAGCGUGCGCAGGCGGUUAUAUAAGACAGAUGUGAAAUCCCCGGGCUCAACCUGGGAACUGCGCUUGUGACUGCACGGCUAGAGUACGGCAGAGGGAGGUGGAAUUCCACGUGUAGCAGUGAAAUGCGUAGAGAUGUGGAGGAACACCGAUGGCGAAGGCAGCCUCCUGGGCCAGUACUGACGCUCAUGCACGAAAGCGUGGGGAGCAAACAGG